rnacentral:rRNA from 1 species
GAUGAACGCUGGCGGCGUGCCUAAUACAUGCAAGUCGAGCGAACGGACGAGAAGCUUGCUUCUCUGAUGUUAGCGGCGGACGGGUGAGUAACACGUGGAUAACCUACCUAUAAGACUGGGAUAACUUCGGGAAACCGGAGCUAAUACCGGAUAAUAUUUUGAACCGCAUGGUUCAAAAGUGAAAGACGGUCUUGCUGUCACUUAUAGAUGGAUCCGCGCUGCAUUAGCUAGUUGGUAAGGUAACGGCUUACCAAGGCAACGAUGCAUAGCCGACCUGAGAGGGUGAUCGGCCACACUGGAACUGAGACACGGUCCAGACUCCUACGGGAGGCAGCAGUAGGGAAUCUUCCGCAAUGGGCGAAAGCCUGACGGAGCAACGCCGCGUGAGUGAUGAAGGUCUUCGGAUCGUAAAACUCUGUUAUUAGGGAAGAACAUAUGUGUAAGUAACUGUGCACAUCUUGACGGUACCUAAUCAGAAAGCCACGGCUAACUACGUGCCAGCAGCCGCGGUAAUACGUAGGUGGCAAGCGUUAUCCGGAAUUAUUGGGCGUAAAGCGCGCGUAGGCGGUUUUUUAAGUCUGAUGUGAAAGCCCACGGCUCAACCGUGGAGGGUCAUUGGAAACUGGAAAACUUGAGUGCAGAAGAGGAAAGUGGAAUUCCAUGUGUAGCGGUGAAAUGCGCAGAGAUAUGGAGGAACACCAGUGGCGAAGGCGACUUUCUGGUCUGUAACUGACGCUGAUGUGCGAAAGCGUGGGGAUCAAACAGGAUUAGAUACCCUGGUAGUCCACGCCGUAAACGAUGAGUGCUAAGUGUUAGGGGGUUUCCGCCCCUUAGUGCUGCAGCUAACGCAUUAAGCACUCCGCCUGGGGAGUACGACCGCAAGGUUGAAACUCAAAGGAAUUGACGGGGACCCGCACAAGCGGUGGAGCAUGUGGUUUAAUUCGAAGCAACGCGAAGAACCUUACCAAAUCUUGACAUCCUUUGACAACUCUAGAGAUAGAGCCUUCCCCUUCGGGGGACAAAGUGACAGGUGGUGCAUGGUUGUCGUCAGCUCGUGUCGUGAGAUGUUGGGUUAAGUCCCGCAACGAGCGCAACCCUUAAGCUUAGUUGCCAUCAUUAAGUUGGGCACUCUAAGUUGACUGCCGGUGACAAACCGGAGGAAGGUGGGGAUGACGUCAAAUCAUCAUGCCCCUUAUGAUUUGGGCUACACACGUGCUACAAUGGACAAUACAAAGGGCAGCGAAACCGCGAGGUCAAGCAAAUCCCAUAAAGUUGUUCUCAGUUCGGAUUGUAGUCUGCAACUCGACUACAUGAAGCUGGAAUCGCUAGUAAUCGUAGAUCAGCAUGCUACGGUGAAUACGUUCCCGGGUCC